CGGGACGUGGCUCAGCCUGGUAGAGCACUGCCUUCGGGAGGCAGGGGUCGCUGGUUCAAAUCCAGUCGUCCCGACCA
rnacentral:tRNA from 1 species